UACGGGGGGUGCGAGCGUUGUCCGGAAUCACUGGGCGUAAAGGGCGAGUAGGUGGCCAUCUAAGUCAGACGUGAAAUCCCCCGGCUUAACCUGGGAACUGCGUCUGAUACUGGACGGCUUGAGUAUGGGAGAGGGAUGUAGAAUUCCAGGUGUAGCGGUGAAAUGCGUAGAUAUCUGGAGGAAUACCGGUGGCGAAGGCGGCAUCCUGGACCAUUACUGACACUGAACCGCGAAAGCUAGGGGAGCAAACGGG
rnacentral:rRNA from 1 species